CUACCGAUGAAGCUAGUUUUACUAUCCCAUAGAUUCAACCUUAAGAUUCAUGCCCUCGAAACUGAGCCUUAAGUCGAGAAGACUUAUGGUUUCAUCAAACCAUCGUAAAUAAGCACAAAUAAAACACAAAACCCAAAAAUUAUCGAAGUCAGCAAUCAGAAGCCACUCAAUUUACGAACUAGGAAAGAAAUUGAACAAAAAAGUAUUAUCCGCAAUAUUCGUACAUUUGUAUAAUCGCCACCUUCUUUGUUGAUUUCUUCUCUCCACUUCCAAUUGCGAGCCCAAUCAGCGAUAUUGAUUUCGAUUCGGAGCCCCGGUCCGAGAAGUUGUUAUCGCUUACCACGAACACAGAGAACCCGACUCGGUUUGGCCACCACCGGCGAGUUCCGCGUUCAAUUUUUUCCAUCAAGAGAGAGAAAACCUAGGGAUGAUUUUUCCAUCGUGAGAGAGAAAACCUAGAGGUGAUCCCCGAAUAUUAUAAAAGACCGUACGACAGAAUCGAUCGGAACGGGGG
rnacentral:lncRNA from 1 species